UUGAACGCUGGCGGCAGGCCUAACACAUGCAAGUCGAGCGGUAACAUUUCUAGCUUGCUAGAAGAUGACGAGCGGCGGACGGGUGAGUAGUGCUUGGGAACAUGCCUUGAGGUGGGGGACAACAGUUGGAAACGACUGCUAAUACCGCAUAAUGUCUACGGACCAAAGGGGGCUUCGGCUCUCGCCUUUAGAUUGGCCCAAGUGGGAUUAGCUAGUUGGUGAGGUAAUGGCUCACCAAGGCGACGAUCCCUAGCUGGUUUGAGAGGAUGAUCAGCCACACUGGGACUGAGACACGGCCCAAACUCCUACGGGAGGCAGCAGUGGGGAAUAUUGCACAAUGGGCGCAAGCCUGAUGCAGCCAUGCCGCGUGGGUGAAGAAGGCCUUCGGGUUGUAAAGCACUUUCAGUCAGGAGGAAAGGUUAGUAGUUAAUACCUGCUAGCUGUGACGUUUCUGACAAAAGAAGCACCGGCUAACUCCGUGCCCGCAGCCUCGGAA
rnacentral:rRNA from 1 species